rnacentral:lncRNA from 1 species
UCUGUGUCCCCACAAGGUUAGUUAUACAUGACUGUGUGUGUGUGUGUGUGUGUGUGUGUGUGUGUGUGUGUGUGUGUGUGUGUGUGUGUGUGUGUGUGUGUGUGUGUGUGUGUGUGUGUGUGUGUGUGUGUGUGUCCCCACAAGGUUAGUUAUACAUGACUGUGUGUGUGUGUGUGUGUGUGUGUGUGUGUGUGUGUGUGUGUGUGUGUGUGUGUGUGUGUGUGUGUGUGUGUCUGUGUCCCCACAAGGUUAGUUAUACAUGACUGUGUGUGUGUGUGUGUGUGUGUGUGUGUGUGUGUGUGUGUGUGUGUGUGUCUGUGUCCCCACAAGGUUAGUUAUACAUGACUGUGUGUGUGUGUGUGUGUGUGUGUGUGUGUGUGUCUGUGUCCCCACAAGGUUAGUUAUACAUGACUGUGUGUGUGUGUGUGUGUGUGUGUCCCCACAAGGUUAGUUAUACAUGACUGUGUGUGUGUGUGUGUGACUCACUUGGGCAGCAGCGUGUCCUCCUGUAGAUCAGACCCAGGACCGUGGUGAAUACGGUCAGCACGACCACAACUACCAGGACCAACCACGCCACGCUGAAAACACACAGC